UUUUAUGGAGAGUUUGAUCCUGGCUCAGGAUGAACGCUGGCGGCGUGCCUAAUACAUGCAAGUCGAGCGAACGGACGAGAAGCUUGCUUCUCUGAUGUUAGCGGCGGACGGGUGAGUAACACGUGGAUAACCUACCUAUAAGACUGGGAUAACUUCGGGAAACCGGAGCUAAUACCGGAUAAUAUUUUGAACCGCAUGGUUCAAAAGUGAAAGACGGUCUUGCUGUCACUUAUAGAUGGAUCCGCGCUGCAUUAGCUAGUUGGUAAGGUAACGGCUUACCAAGGCAACGAUGCAUAGCCGACCUGAGAGGGUGAUCGGCCACACUGGAACUGAGACACGGUCCAGACUCCUACGGGAGGCAGCAGUAGGGAAUCUUCCGCAAUGGGCGAAAGCCUGACGGAGCAACGCCGCGUGAGUGAUGAAGGUCUUCGGAUCGUAAAACUCUGUUAUUAGGGAAGAACAUAUGUGUAAGUAACUGUGCACAUCUUGACGGUACCUAAUCAGAAAGCCACGGCUAACUACGUGCCAGCAGCCGCGGUAAUACGUAGGUGGCAAGCGUUAUCCGGAAUUAUUGGGCGUAAAGCGCGCGUAGGCGGUUUUUUAAGUCUGAUGUGAAAGCCCACGGCUCAACCGUGGAGGGUCAUUGGAAACUGGAAAACUUGAGUGCAGAAGAGGAAAGUGGAAUUCCAUGUGUAGCGGUGAAAUGCGCAGAGAUAUGGAGGAACACCAGUGGCGAAGGCGACUUUCUGGUCUGUAACUGACGCUGAUGUGCGAAAGCGUGGGGAUCAAACAGGAUUAGAUACCCUGGUAGUCCACGCCGUAAACGAUGAGUGCUAAGUGUUAGGGGGUUUCCGCCCCUUAGUGCUGCAGCUAACGCAUUAAGCACUCCGCCUGGGGAGUACGACCGCAAGGUUGAAACUCAAAGGAAUUGACGGGGACCCGCACAAGCGGUGGAGCAUGUGGUUUAAUUCGAAGCAACGCGAAGAACCUUACCAAAUCUUGACAUCCUUUGACAACUCUAGAGAUAGAGCCUUCCCCUUCGGGGGACAAAGUGACAGGUGGUGCAUGGUUGUCGUCAGCUCGUGUCGUGAGAUGUUGGGUUAAGUCCCGCAACGAGCGCAACCCUUAAGCUUAGUUGCCAUCAUUAAGUUGGGCACUCUAAGUUGACUGCCGGUGACAAACCGGAGGAAGGUGGGGAUGACGUCAAAUCAUCAUGCCCCUUAUGAUUUGGGCUACACACGUGCUACAAUGGACAAUACAAAGGGCAGCGAAACCGCGAGGUCAAGCAAAUCCCAUAAAGUUGUUCUCAGUUCGGAUUGUAGUCUGCAACUCGACUAUAUGAAGCUGGAAUCGCUAGUAAUCGUAGAUCAGCAUGCUACGGUGAAUACGUUCCCGGGUCUUGUACACACCGCCCGUCACACCACGAGAGUUUGUAACACCCGAAGCCGGUGGAGUAACCUUUUAGGAGCUAGCCGUCGAAGGUGGGACAAAUGAUUGGGGUGAAGUCGUAACAAGGUAGCCGUAUCGGAAGGUGCGGCUGGAUCACCUCCUUUCUAA
rnacentral:rRNA from 1 species